rnacentral:rRNA from 1 species
UACGUAGGGUGCGAGCGUUAAUCGGAAUUACUGGGCGUAAGGCGUGCGCAGGCGGUUUGUUAAGACAGAUGUGAAAUCCCCGGGCUUAACCUGGGAACUGCAUUUGUGACUGGCAAGCUAGAGUAUGGCAGAGGGGGGUAGAAUUCCACGUGUAGCGGUGAAAUGCGUAGAUAUCAGGAGGAACACCGGUGGCGAAGGCGUCCAUCUGGCCCGAUACUGACGCUGAGGCGCGAAAGCUAGGGGAGCGAACGGG